GCGUGUGAGCAGUAUGGUUAGAGCAUCUGACUGUUAAUCAGAGGGUCCUUGGUUCGAGCCCAAGAGGAGGAGCA
rnacentral:tRNA from 1 species